CAGCAGCCGCGGGAAUACGUAGGGUGCGAGCGUUAAUCGGAAUUACUGGGCGUAAAGCGUGCGCAGGCGGUUAUAUAAGACAGAUGUGAAAUCCCCGGGCUCAACCUGGGACCUGCAUUUGUGACUGUAUAGCUAGAGUACGGUAGAGGGGGAUGGAAUUCCGCGUGUAGCAGUGAAAUGCGUAGAUGUGCGGAGGAACACCGAUGGCGAAGGCAAUCCCCUGGACCUGUACUGACGCUCAUGCACGAAAGCGUGGGGAGCAAACAGGAUUAGAUACCCCAGUAGUCCCUGUCUCUUAUAC
rnacentral:rRNA from 1 species